rnacentral:lncRNA from 1 species
AAAAAUUAAGAGUAUAAAAUAAAAUUCUAAGAGUGGUAAAGAAAUACUUUAUCUAAUAUAGUUACUUUUGUUUUGUGUCAUUCUUAAAUUUCUUAGAUCGCCCGGGUCCAUCUAGUGCUCCUCCAAGACAGAAUCAAAGCUAGAACUUCGCUCUCCAUCACUGUGAGUAAUAAUAAAUAAUGCAGGUCAACAUGCAUUUGCAUAGCAUUUUUUUUACAAACCUUAUUUAUGGUAUAAUUGUAUAUUUGGAUGGAUUUGGUGUAAUACGUUGAAAGAAUUGUUUGAUUACUUGUGCUGUGCAUAUACUGUGCCUUGUUUGUGUGGAAUUGGGAU